rnacentral:rRNA from 1 species
UACAGAGGAGCCAAGCGUUGUCCGGAUUGACUGGGCGUAAAGCGCACGCAGGCGGUUGCGCGCGUGGGGUGUGAAAUCUGGCCGCUUAACGGCCAGGCGCCAUCCCAUACGGCGCGACUGGAGGGCUGCAGAGGUCGAUGGAAUUGCCGGUGUAGUGGUGAAAUUCGUAGAUAUCGGGAGGAACACCGGUGGCGAAGGCGGCGACCUGGGUGGAUACUGACGCUGAGGUGCGAAAGCGUGGGGAGCAAACAGG